rnacentral:rRNA from 1 species
UUUAACGCUGAGGUGUGAUGACGAGGCACUACGGUGCUGAAGUAACAAAUGCCCUGCUUCCAGGAAAAGCCUCUAAGCAUCAGGUAACAUCAAAUCGUACCCCAAACCGACACAGGUGGUCAGGUAGAGAAUACAAAGGCGCUUGAGAGAACUCGGGUGAAGGAACUAGGCAAAAUGGUGCCGUAACUUCGGGAGAAGGCACGCUGAUAUGUAGGUGAAGCCCCUGCGGGUGGAGCUGAAAUCAGUCGAAGAUAC